UACGUAGGGCGCAAGCGUUUAUCCGGAAUUAUUGGGCGUAAAGAGCUCGUAGGCGGUUUGUCGCGUCUGCCGUGAAAGUCCGGGGCUCAACUCCGGAUCUGCGGUGGGUACGGGCAGACUAGAGCGAUGUAGGGGAGACUGGAAUUCCUGGUGUAGCGGUGAAAUACGCAGAUAUCAGGAGGAACACCGAUGGCGAAGGCAGGUCUCUGGGCCGAUACUGACGCUGAGGAGCGAAAGCGUGGGGAGCGAACAGG
rnacentral:rRNA from 1 species